rnacentral:rRNA from 1 species
AUUGAACGCUGGCGGCGGGCCUAACACAUGCAAGUCGAACGGGUGGAGGACGGGUGGGCAAUGUAUGGGAAACUGCCUGAUGGAGGGGGAUAACUACUGGAAACGGUAGCUAAUACCGCAUACCAUCGGAUGUGCCCAGAUGGGAUUAGCUAGUAGGUGGGGUAAAGGCACACCUAGGCGACGCGCCCUAGCUGGUCUGCUAGGAUGACCAGCCACACUGGAACUGAGACACGGUCCAGACUCCUACGGGAGGCAGCAGUGGGGAAUAUUGGACAAUGGGCGAAAGCCUGAUGCAGCCAGGCCGCGUGUGUGAAGAAGGCCUUCGGGUUGUAAAGUACUUUCAGCGGGAAGGCGUUACCCGCAGAAGAAGCCCCGGCUAACUCCGUGCCAGCAGCCGCGGUAAUAC